GGGAUAUAGACAGGCUUGAGCACCUCCACCUCACAGAAUUUGGACUAAAAUUGGGGCAAAAAAUAUUUUUGUUAAACAAAAGAGAUUUUAUUUUAUUUUUAUCAUUAUUUUGAAACAGGUUCUUGCUCUGUCACCCAGGGUGGAGUGCAGUAGCACAAGGUGCAUCCCGGGAUCAAGCCUUCCUCCUGUCUCAGCCUCCCCAGUAGCUGAGACUGAUACAGGAGGUAGAAAGAAAUUAUUUAGGCAGAUAGUGAGGGCAAAUGAGUCCUCAGCAGAGCUUCCUUUCUAACAAAAAGCAGCCCAAGAAAUUAGUUUUCUCCUAACAAAAAGUAGCCUGAAAAAUCUAGCUGCAAACAUAGGUAAGCAAGCUGGAACAUUGCACAGGGGAAUGCUGGCAGCUGUGUCAAUAGAAAAGGGGUACCUGGGGGCCAGGCAUGUCCAUCAUGGAAGCUUCAUCUUCCUUUUUGUUAGCACGUGUACAGUAAGAAAGAAGUGGGCAACAUGGCACAGCUUAGGCUGAAAACCCGCCUGCAUAAUAAAAUACUGGGGUGGGGGCUGCCAGAAAAUCGUGCCCCAUGCAAAUGGCACACCUGGUCCUAACCAGCUUUUUGUGCCCUACGUAGAUCAGACACAACUUUCCAACCAGCUCAUCUAUAAAACCUUCUGCAUUUCACCGUGGGUCGACAACCCAUUUUUCUGGGACCCCUCUCUGUAGCAGAGAGCUAUUUUCUUUCUUUUGCCUAUUAAACUUCCUGCUGUUAACCUCACUCUUUGUGUGUCCAUGUCCUUGAUCUCUGUGGCUGUGAGACAAUGAACCUCAGGUUUUACCCCAGACAAUGAGGCUGCUUCAAGACUACA
rnacentral:lncRNA from 10 species